UCCGGUUUAUCACCGGCAGUCUCGCUAGAGUCCCCAACUGAAUGAUGGUAACUAGCGACAGGGGUUGCGCUCGUUGCCGGACUUAACCGAACACCUCACAGCACGAGCUGACGACAGCCAUGCAGCACCUGUCUCCGAGCUCCUUCGUGAGAAGGCACCCCCACCUUUCAGUGGGGUACUCGGGAUGUCAAGCCUGGGUAAGGUUCUGCGCGUUGCUUCGAAUUGAACCACAUGCUCCACCGCUUGUGCGGGCCCCCGUCAAUUCCUUUGAGUUUUAGCCUUGCGGCCGUACUCCCCAGGCGGGGUGCUUAAUGCGUUAGCUGCGGCACGGAAGACGUCGAUAGCCUCCCACACCUAGCACCCAUCGUUUACGGCUGGGACUAC
rnacentral:misc_RNA from 1 species